CCGGCCAUAGAGAGGAGCGGGGUAGAGCGUCCCCCGCCCCGGCUCCGCGCUACUUCCGGUACCGACCAUAGAGUUCCGGGAGCGGCGGCGGCCGGAGGGGCCCGGGGGGCGAUGACGUCAGCGUCGACGAAGGUGGGGGAGAUCUUCUCGGCCGCCGGCGCCGCCUUCACCAAACUGGGGGAGCUGACGAUGCAGCUGCACCCGGUGUCCGACUCCUCCCCCGCCGGGGCCAAGUGAAUGGAGCUGGAGCUGAACCU